AUGUACCUCAUGACAGAUACAAUAUAUCAUCCAGUGCUCGACUAUGACAAAAAUUAAACAAUUACACCUCACAAAGGCAAAGCAAAGAAUCAUGGAGCGAGUAGGAGGGGUAGAAGGGGACCUAAGGAGCUCAUCGGAAGUGGUUGUACCCUAGGCUGAACUUCACCAUCACAGCGACAGCCAAGGGAGGCAGCCGAGCCUACCAAUGCGUAGCCAUCAUAGGAGCAAUAGGAGUGCAGCAGCACCACUGCCAGAACUGGAAUUGCUGGAGCGAAUCACCAUCACAUGGGUCACCUCCACCGAAGGAUCUAGCAAGGGGUAAAGUCUGCACAUUUCAGUACAAGCUAGUGACGUCAAAAACCAAACAGUAGCAAGAAGAUAAACUCUAGUACAUGAUGAUUAGUUGAAGAAAUAGGAACUACAUUCAGUAGUGAUGUUUCCUUCAUCCUACUAUCACCAGUAGAGCAAACUACGGGUUACCCUAGUUCUGGAACCAUGUACUUCACAACAGAUGUAUGUAGUAACACAAGACGCAUGACACCUAAAGAAAAAUUAUUCAUUCAAGAGACUAGAAAUUAUACAUACAAGUACUGAUGGCCUAAAAAUCAAUCUACAAAUGAUAGAUAAUAAUAAACAAAUGACAGCAGCAUAUUUUCUUCAUUAUAUAAAGAGAAACUAACAAACUGUUAUGUGCACGCAGAUGCACCAAAAGAAACUAAAGACCAUUUAUCUUAAGGAUUCCACAUAGCUGCCGAACAUGCUUAUCAUCCAAGGAAAGAAGCAUAGCUUUUUCAGGGGAAAUCAAUCUACAACCCUACAGAUAUUAGGACUAUCUCGGUACACAAUAUGAGCACGAGCGAUACAUCAGGCAGUAUACGCAUCUAGAGAGAAAGAAUUACGACCCACAAGGCAGCAGCGAUAGCUUCUACCUUCGCAUAUAUUUCAAUACCUACUGCUAUUGUCAUGUAUGUUAAAUAUGCAAGAGGUAAAAAUGACAGUUUUGUACAUCCAUUUCAAACAGACUUGUGAAGAAGAAGAUAAACUGCUAAUGCACUUCAACCAUUAAUCCAACAUUGCACACAAACCUAGAAAGAAAGUAACAAACCAACCGCCCUAAUACAGAACAUCAUUAGGCCCAAACAUUUGGCAUAUUCAAACAUGAUGCUGUUCUACGGCUACAUCAAGUAGUUAAUACCUCCAUGAUGCUACAUGUAGAAAAUAUCUACUCUAUCAUAUGAGUUUGACUGCGGGGUAUACAGGGGAAGAUGGUAGCUCAGUGUAUCCAAUUAUCCAUACAACGUAAAAGGUCGUGAACAUACUAGACGCAAUAUUAUCACCAUUUAUAGUACAAUAAACUCAGAUCUUACAGAACAAAUUGACAUUAUCAGACAACACAGGAAACUGUGUGUUUUCUCCCAGCCGUAUCAUACACCAAAAGCACAGUGCCCAGCAAAUGUGAAACCAGACUUGUUACUGGUGAGUAUGAGGUCAUCGGUACCUAUCACAACUGCGCGAGUAGGUCAUCAUUUGGUACCUGGCACAACUCUACAAGGAGGUCGGCAUCAUUGAUUCCU
rnacentral:lncRNA from 1 species